AUGAGGGAGAGCCUGAACCCGCCUUCCUGGGCUCACAUGGCCCAGCUCCAGGAGUCUGCACAAAUAAGCACAAUUCCUGUGGUGACCUCUACCGCAGAGCUGGGUAGAACCUCCGUGGGAACCAACCUUCAACUCUUCCUUACAAAACACAGCAAAAAGCCAAAGGGAAAAGCAAUUCCACCCGUCGCCGGGCCCGGCCCCCGCCUGCUGUCCGGAUUGACAGACCUGCAGGCCAUCAGCUCCGGGUCCCGGGGCUGGACCGGUGACCUAGUGAGAGAAAAAUCCCCAUGUAGGCAUGUGACCUUGCUCCUGCGUGCUGACAGAUGUGAGUCAAGGAAAAUGGGGAUAAGGUCCUGGAGCCAGCUGCUCUUCUUGCUGACCAAUCCCUGCACCCCUCUCUGACCAAUCCCUGCUCUCUUCUCUUCUCUCUGGCCAAUCCCUGCUCUCCCCUCUCCUCCUGCCCUACUCAGUGCUCCAAGCCCUCAGUGAGGCGGCGGCGCUGCUAGGCUGAAGAGUCGCGUGACUGGGCAAAUGGCCCAGUGAUCCAACUGGACUCUGGUGCCUGGGGAUCGGAAGAACUGAGGGGAGGAGACCUGAACCAGCAGGUUCAUCCAAACUUUGCCGGUCACCCUGCCUGCCAAAGUUGCCACCUGCUGCCUGGGUCUGAGGGUCAGAGUUCAAUUCAACUCUCGUCCUUUCUCCUCCUCCCUCUUGUGGGUGCAACUUCUCCCUGGCCCGGUGCCCCUCCUACCAGGCAGUCCCCAGCCCUGGCUCCCCCAGCCCCACCUCCCAGGGAACGGGGAGGGGCCGGCUGGGUGCGUUAGACAGGAUGGCUCCAGGCACAGCAUCUGCCAGGGAACUCCUCAAGCCACCUCGAUGGAGCCGGAGGGCGGCAGUGGUUUUGGGACUAUCACAGCCCCCACAACCAGUCUAUCCGCUAUCCCCUGGCAGGGAGCCCAUGGAGGCGCAGUGUUCAGGGGCUCUGCCCACGUUCCACUGGUUGGGCAUGGGCAUCGUGCCAGCACUGCUCUCUGACCCCUGGUGUUCAGGGGCUGCGCACCCUGGGCCGCCCUGCCAUCCUCCCCUCAGCCCCCCGCUGCAGCAGGAGAGAUCGAGGCCUGGCAGUCAGGGCACACAGCUGCUGCCAAAGGUCAUGUCGGGGGCCUGGACCCUAGGAGCCUGGAGCAAACUCCACUGACACUCAACAAGGUGGGAGAAGCACCCCACGCCUCCUCUGCCCUCCCUAUCAAUGUCACCGUUCGCUGCAUCUCUAAGCGCCAGAUGGAGUCAGAGCACUGACCGCUGCCCCAGCAUUCUCAGGGAGUCCGGAGUUUCCAGUGAGUCUGAAGAGCCUCAUGUUCCCAGCGAUCGCCCCCUUGGAAGAGCAGGGAAUCAGAAGCAGCUCUGGGAUUGCUCCUCUGAGGCCCAUCCCACAAAGACAAAAGCACUUGGGGAGGCCUCGUUCUCGCCCCAGGCCCCACUGGACCCUGCCGCCACAUGACCAAAGCUGAUCCAGUUCUCUCUGCCAGCAGGGCCUACAGCAGGCUGGCACGGCCACCAUAGCAAAGUGGACAGGUUCUCCCGAGGCAGUACCAUCACCUGACCCAGCCAGGACUGCUCACUACCCAUCAAUGGCCACCUGUGCUGCUGCUUCCAUCACGCCUGGCUCCACAGAAGGCCAGGACCACUGCAGAGUUGUUCAGAGAGUGGGCAAGGGCCUAGGUGGUAUAUGCAUGACUUCUAACCUGAGCCUGAGGGCAUGCAUGGUCCGUGUGACUGGGACGUCUGACCCUGCUCUCUGACCCUGCCCCAGCCCUUUUGCCCCAAAAGAGACCAAGGCCACUGGACUGAGCCAGACACGGAGACAUGGGAUGCGGGCAUGGGGGAAGUGGAGACAAGGGGCUGGGGGUGGAGGAUGGAUAUGGGAUUCGGGCCUCCCUUCAUCCACACAUCCCACCAUCCUGGGGAAGAAACAAAGCUGAGGAUACUUUACGUUUCUCGUGUUCCCUUCGUGCCCCACUCCCGAUGGCCUCGGUGGGGCCAGAUGGGGCGGCGGGGGCUCCCGGGCCACCUCUCCCUUCUCCGAGCUGGGCACACGCUUGCAGGACUUGCUGGAAUCUCAGCAGCGAGGUCAGCUUGGGCCCCGGAUGGUGGGUGGCAUCGCUCCUUCCUUCCCCGCCUGAGUUAACUAUUAACCCUGGUGUCCCUCAGCCUGGCAGAUGAU
rnacentral:lncRNA from 1 species